rnacentral:lncRNA from 1 species
CCCGGGGCAGGAGGCUCGGCUCGGCUCGGCUCCUCGCGGCUUCUCCGCGCCCGCGCUCAAGUCCGGCCCGCAGUAAAACUCCGGUGAGGAUGCCCGGGAAAAAAAAAAUAAAAAAUAAAAAUAAUGAUAAUCAAAAAAAUCCACGCAGCCAAAUAAAUAAAUAAAAAAGGAACCCCUGGAGCGGCGGACGCCAGUGACCCAGUCGGCAAAAGCACGGAUCCGGCCAACAGAUAGGCACGCACACGGCAGCCCCUGCCAAGCUUGCAGCUCCUGCUCAAUUGUGCAUUCCUCUCGCGGCGCAGGGGAGGCAGGCGAGCGCGCAGCAAGUAAGGCGCCUCCCACCAGAGCCUAAUGGUGGUUUCUUAAUGCGCACAAGAUAAAUAAAUGAUCCGGGCAAAGCCCUCGGGAGGGUGGAUGCUUCGGCUAGCAGAGCCUGGGAAAGGGAGGAAGAGAAAGGAAGGAAGAGAAGAAGAGAAAAGAAAAAGGGGUAACUGCGGAACGCCUGAACCCAUCCGGCGGCGGCGCGGCAGUAACCCACUGCGCUGUGCCGCACGGCAAAAAGACGCGUGGAGGGAGGGAGGUGGAGACACCUUCAGAGAGGAUUCCUCGCCAGCGACCGGGGCUCGGGACGAGAUGCUUUCUGACGCUGAUGCUCUCUGAUGGCUAACAAUGAACAGCGUUUGUUGUUUGUGAAAGGGAUUCCCUCCAGGAAAGCGCAGACCAGCAGCAGCCACCUGCAACAAAAGGACAGCCCUCUUCGGCAGCCGGGGCGAGGGAUGGCACGGGCACACGUCUCGCGGCUACCAGGAUGCUCCCAGACAAGUGCGGAUCCUGAGGCUGCCCCAACUCCUUCGUCUACUUUAGACGGUUACGUUCAUUGUGACUGUGACCGACAGUGUGUGCUUCCCUCUCACCUUCUGGACAUUUAAACACUUGGGGUGGUCACUGAAGCGUUAACAGCGCGGUACCAAAGGGUGAGCUUAAUGCCGUUUGCCAAAUUUUAGAGAAUGGUUUAUAAAACCAUGUAUGUGCAAUAGCUUUUAACCCCUUCUUCUAAACUAUUAAACCAUUGGCGUCAUUUCCUGGUAAUGACACUUCGGUAUAAUUUCCUUAGUCACUUAUGUAGAAAUGUAUUAAUAUUUAUAUGGAAUAAUUGAACAGGAAGAAAAUGGAAACAAAAUGCAAAACAUUUUUUUGUUGUUGUUGUUCUGUCUAUACACAAACAGAAAAUAAGAUGCUGGUUACGAAGGUGGAUAGUAAAAGGACAAGGGGGUAUGGUUCUAAACUGAGACAGGGGAGGUUUAGGUUAGAUAUUAGGAGGAAGUUUUUCACCCAGAGGGUGGUGAGGCACUGAACAGGUUGCCCAAGGAGGCUGUGGAUGCCCCAUCCCUGGAGGCAUUCAAGGCCAGGCUGCAUGUGGCUCUGGGCAGCCUGGUCUGGUGGUUGGCGACCCUGCCCAUGGCAAGGAAUUUGAAACUAGAUGAUCUCUGAGGUCCUUUCCAACCCAGGC